UUCUUUGGGGCGUUGAUGUCAAAGAGUUGGCACGGCGACUUGCGUCGAGUUUUAUGUAAUCUGCAUAAAAUGGGGGAGUGUUCCAAGGAGCGGUGACGACAGGCGAGUUGGGGAAAGGAAAACAGGGGAGCUGCCGCCGACCACAGCAGAAAACCACAAACGAAUGAGCCUGCCCAGGAAAAUGCCUCGGAAAAUGUUGGAUUCUAAUUAUGGUCGUCGUCACACGAUGUCGCUUUCCAUAAUAUUUGUUGUAUUUGGCUUUUCCGUACUGCUAGUUUGGGUCUUAAUAAUCAUUGUUUUACGCCUAUUUUUUACAUACUAUUUAAUUCCCCACUUCUUUAUUAUUCGCCAACAGAAUAACUUUACAUCUUAGAAAGGGCA
ensembl:ncRNA lncRNA:CR44146 long non-coding RNA:CR44146